GACGUAGGUUCCAAGCGUUGCCCGGUUUUAUUGGGCGUAAAGCGUCUGUAGGUGGUUUUUUAAGUCUUGUUUCAAAGACCCUGACUCAAUCAGGGAAAGGGGCAGGAUACUGGAAGACUGGAGUUAUAUCGGGGUUACUGGAAUUUAUAGUGUAGGGGUAAAAUCCGUGGAUACUAUAAAGAACACCAAGCGCGAAGGCGGGUAACCAGGUAUAUACUGACACUCAGAGACGAAAGCUAGGGUAGCCAAUCAGAUUAGAGACCUGAGUAGUCCUAGCCGUAAACAUUGUCUGUUAAUUUUCCCUAAUUUAUUGGGGGAGAUGCUAGCUAACGCGUUAAACAGACCGCCUGGGGAGUAUAGCCGCAAGGCCGAAACUCAAACGAAUUGGCGGGGAGGCGCACAACCAGUGGAGCAUGUGGUUCAAUUCGAUACGAAGCGAUGAACCUUACCUGGGUUUGAAAUGUAUCUGCAUGGUCUAAGAAACUAGACCGGUCCUUCGAGGGUGAUACACAGCUGUUGCAUGGCUGUCGUCAGCUCGUGACGUGAGUUGUUCUCUUAAGUGAGGUAACGAGCGCAACCCCUAUCGUAUGUUAUCGUGUCAUACGAGACUGCCCAGCAUUAUUUUGUUGGGAGGAAGGAGGGGACGACGUCAAGUCAUCAUGAUGCUUAUAUCCAGGGCUACACACAUCCUACAAUGGGUUGGACAGAGGGUCGCAAUGCCGCAAGGUGGAGCUAAUCCUUAAACCAUCCCUCAGUUGGGAUUGCAGGCUGAAAUUCGCCUGCAUGAACCCGGAAUUGGUAGUAAUCGCAAAUCAGCAGAUUGCGGUGAAUACGUUCUCGCCUCU
rnacentral:rRNA from 1 species